GACGAACGCUGGCGGCGUGCUUAACACAUGCAAGUCAACUUGAGGGGGCAACCCUAAUGGUGGCGAACGGGUGAGUAACGCGUAGAUAACCUGCCCCUUAGUUUGGGAUAACCUCGGGAAACUGGGACUAAUACCGGAUACUAUCUUUGGUUGGCAUCAACUGGAGGUGAAAGAUCUAGAAUCGCUAAGGGAGGGGUCUGCGUACUAUUAGAUAGUUGGCGGGGUAACGGCCCACCAAGUCAUUGAUAGUUAGCUGGUCUGAGAGGAUGAUCAGCCACACUGGGACUGAGAUACGGCCCAGACUCCUACGGGAGGCAGCAGUGGGGAAUAUUGCGCAAUGGGCGAAAGCCUGACGCAGCAACGCCGCGUGGGUGAAGAAGGUCUUCGGGUUGUAAAGCCCUGUGGGGGAGAACGAACCGUACGGGGGCGAAUACCUCCGUGCCUGACGGUACUCCUUUAGCAAGCAUCGGCUAACUCUGUGCCAGCAGCCGCGGUAAAGUACAGUGU
rnacentral:rRNA from 1 species